rnacentral:tRNA from 1 species
UUAAGGGAGACCGAACCUGCCUUAUUGAUUCGACYAUUAUGUCGAGGUAAUAUCGAUGAGAUGGUCAACCAAAGGUCGAAUCGCUGGUCUUUUAGAUAUCUAGCUUUCAAACUAUAAAUUUGGUUCGGAAUUGGGCUAUUAGCUCAGGUGGUUAGAGCGCACCCCUGAUAAGGGUGAGGUCCCUGGUUCGAGUCCAGGAUGGCCCACCUGUAAAGAGUUAGGAGUUAAGAGUAAAGAGUGAGGAAUAAAAACCCUAGCUUCAAACUUGUAAACUAUAUAACUUUUUGUCGUGGGGGUUUAGCUCAGUUGGUAGAGCGCCUGCUUUGCAAGCAGGAUGUCAGCGGUUCGAGUCCGCUAACCUCCACUGAAAGAAAAAGAAAUUGGAAUGAUUUAGCACCUAAACUAGGGACAAAUAGUUAAUAGUUUAGAAUGCUGAAAUGAUUUUCAGCCAGAACCAUGAAAACUGCAUAGUGACGUAAUGUAAUGUAGGUAGCAAUUCUUCGACUACUGAGCAAUUUGUUGGUUGGUAACAACUGGGAGAUUGUGAGGAAGAACAAGAUUGAUGGCGUACAUUCACAGACAAAAAAUUGAUUUGAAGAAUU